rnacentral:rRNA from 1 species
UACCAGCUGGCUGCAACUGUUUAUUAAAAACACAGCACUGUGCAAACACGAAAGUGGACGUAUACGGUGUGACGCCUGCCCGGUGCCGGAAGGUUAAUUGAUGGGGUCAGCGCAAGCGAAGCUCCUGAUCGAAGCCCCGGUAAACGGCGGCCGUAACUAUAACGGUCCUAAGGUAGCGAAAUUCCUUGUCGGGUAAGUUCCGACCUGCACGAAUGGCGUAAUGAUGGCCAGGCUGUCUCCACCCGAGACUCAGUGAAAUUGAACUCGCUGUGAAGAUGCAGUGUACCCGCGGCAAGACGGAAAGACCCCGUGAACCUUUACUAUAGCUUGACACUGAACAUUGAGCCUUGAUGUGUAGGAUAGGUGGGAGGCUUUGAAGUGUGGACGCCAGUCUGCAUGGAGCCGACCUUGAAAUACCACCCUUUAAUGUUUGAUGUUCUAACGUGGACCCGUAAUCCGGGUUGCGGACAGUGUCUGGUGGGUAGUUUGACUGGGGCGGUCUCCUCCUAAAGAGUAACGGAGGAGCACGAAGGUUGGCUAAUCCUGGUCGGACAUCAGGAGGUUAGUGCAAUGGCAUAAGCCAGCUUGACUGCGAGCGUGACGGCGCGAGCAGGUGCGAAAGCAGGUCAUAGUGAUCCGGUGGUUCUGAAUGGAAGGGCCAUCGCUCAACGGAUAAAAGGUACUCCGGGGAUAACAGGCUGAUACCGCCCAAGAGUUCAUAUCGACGGCGGUGUUUGGCACCUCGAUGUCGGCUCAUCACAUCCUGGGGCUGAAGUAGGUCCCAAGGGUAUGGCUGUUCGCCAUUUAAAGUGGUACGCGAGCUGGGUUUAGAACGUCGUGAGACAGUUCGGUCCCUAUCUGCCGUGGGCGCUGGAGAACUGAGGGGGGCUGCUCCUAGUACGAGAGGACCGGAGUGGACGCAUCACUGGUGUUCGGGUUGUCAUGCCAAUGGCACUGCCCGGUAGCUAAAUGCGGAAGAGAUAAGUGCUGAAAGCAUCUAAGCACGAAACUUGCCCCGAGAUGAGUUCUCCCUGAGACUUUAGGUCUCCUGAAGGAACGUUGAAGACGACGACGUUGAUAGGCCGGGUGUGUAAGCGCAGCGAUGCGUUGAGCUAACCGGUACUAAUGAACCGUGAGGCUUAACCUUAC